UCGAAUAAACUUGAACAGGCUGUUGCUGGUCCCUUGGGACAUGUGCACGCUUGUCAUCUUUAUCAUUUCUCCAACUGUGCACAUACUUUGUAGACCUUGGAGGGGGAAAUGGAAUUCGUUCCGAGUGGGGACUGCUGUGCCUUCAAAAAAGAGGUCGGCUUUCCCCUUGAAAGGUCUAUGUCUCACAAACAAUAUGUCUAGAAUGUUGAAAUACAUAAAAGUUAUAAAAAA
rnacentral:misc_RNA from 1 species